CUGCUUUUGUUGGAUGUCUUCAAGUAUAUGGCCUUUAUGGUUCCCUGCUCCCCAGCCACGGUACCCUCCCUGCCCGAUGUAUCUUGAUUGCUCACCUGUCCCCGAGGUCUUCUUAAUCUUCUCCAGUGGGCACGGGCAGUUGUCAGCAGCCAGAGAACGGAGAAAAUUGUUGAGGGAGCUGUAAGGAGCCAGGUUCUCCCUCUUUGCACAAGGCAGUCCCAAAGGUGGCCCAGGAUGCCAGGCAAGCUGUAGGCCUUCUGCUUGGUGCCCGGGGACUGCUGCUUUGGGCCUUGUGGAACAGCAACUUUGUUGCCCUUGUACCAGACCCAUAGGGGGCAUUGGGAAGAGCCAAGCAAGCAGGACCAGAAUGAGGUUUGGCUCUUGGUUUUCUCUGUAUGCUGCUCCUCAGGAAGGACCUGGUUUGUCUUCGUGUCCUUGGUCCCGAUGGGGCAGGAUGUCAGGCCAAACAAGCAGCGCCAGGUGGAGGUCUGCCUCUUGGUCUCCUCUGUACGCUGCUCCUCAGGAAGGGCCUGGUUGUCCUUCCUGUCCUAGAUCGUGGUGGGGAAGGAGGUUAGGCCAAAGCAGGAGUGCCGGCUGGAGGUCUGGCUCUUGGUCUCCUCCAUGGCCUGCUCCUCAGGAAGGGCCUUGUUCUUGUUCUUCUCCUCAGUCCUGACAGGGCGGGACGUUAGGCCUAGCCAGCAGCGCCAGGUGGAGGUCUGGCUGUUGGUCUCCUCCAUAGGCUGCUCCUCAGGAAGGGCCUGGUUGUCCUUCCUGUCCUCGAUCGUGGUGGGGAAGGAGGUUAGGCCAAACCAGGAGUGCCGUCAGGAGGUCUGGCUUUUGGUCUGCUCCAUAGGCUGCUCCUCAGGAAGGGCCUGGUUGUCCUUCCUGUCCUCGAUCCUGACAGGGCAGGCUAGGCCAAACCAGCAGAACCAUGUGGAGGUCUGCCUCUUGGUCUCCUCCAGAGGCUGCACCUCAGGAAGGACCGGGUUUUUCUUCCUGUCCUCGAUCCUGAUGGGGCAGGACGUUAGGCCAAACUAGCAGCACCAGGUGGAGGUCUAGCUGUUGGUCUCCUCCAUAGGCUGCUCCUCAGGAAGGGCCUCGUUGUUCUUCUCCUCAGUCCUGACAGGGCAGGAGGUUAGGCCUAACCAGCAGCACCAGGUGGAGGUCUGGCUGUUGGUCUCCUCCACAGGUGGCUCCUCUGGAUGGAUCUCGUUGUUGUUGUCCUCGACCCUGAUGGGACAGGAGGUUAGGCCGAACCAGCCCCGCCGGGUGGAGGACUGGCUCUUGGUCGCCACCCGAUGCUGCUCCUCGGGAAGGACCUUUUGGUCACAACUACAGACCCAGCUGAGGUAGCUGGGACAGCCUGGGCCAUGUCCCGCAAAUGGAGACAGGCUCAGAGCCAUGGCCAGGAAGAGAGUCAGGCUGAACUUCAUCCUCUUCUCUCCCAAAGAACAAUCUCUACACACAAAUGGCUGUCACCCAGAGCAGAGCUCCCGCAGUGACCACCAGGACAGAGCGGUUGCUCCAAGUGUCUGAGGUGGGGGAGGCGUCCAGCGUGACUUGACCAAGUCUGAUGUCAUGCCCUGUUCUGUGUUGUCACAAUGCCUUUCCCCCACCUUGGCCAUAGGAUUCCCAGUGUGUCCUGGGAAUUGGAAAUGGACACCCUGGUGGAUUUCUCAGAUUCGUCCUCACCUCUUCUUCCUUGUUGGGUGGCCUGUAGCACACUCCCAUGAUAAUAUCAGUUUUAUUGGCCUUCGCUUUUAUUCUGACCCAUAAGCUCUCCACCCUAUCAUCACCAUCAUUAAUUUCCAUACAUUCACAUUCUUUCUUAACAUAGAGGGUUACACCACCGCCUUUCCUGCCUUGCCUGUCUCUUUUGAAAAGUCGGUACCCAUCCAUCACAGCACUCCAGCUCUGCUAGUCAUUCCAGCACGUUUCCUUGAUGAUGACUGUAUCAUAGGUUUCCGACCACACAAUGGCCUCCAGCUCCUCCUGUUUAUUACCCAUGCUGCAUGCGUUAGUGUAAAGGCACCUGAGCUGGGCCUCCUUUUGAGUGGCAGUAGCCCUAAUACUCUCACGACCAUACUCAGGUGUUUCCACAGCCACCAACCUCACACCAACCCUUGUGUUCUUCGUACAAAAGGGCGAGUCAUCCUCCUUCUUCACCAAGACACAAGACGGUGGGAUCUUACUAGCACAUCCCUCUCCUACAAGCACUGGCACGUUACAUACAUGCUCGAUUCUAGUGACCCCAGUUAUACCCCACCCCUCUUCAUACCUAGUUUAAAGCUCUAUCAGUGAGACCUUCCCAACUCCUGUCUUAAGACCCCUUUCCGCCGGUGAGAGAAGCUACUCCUAUCAGUUGCCAGCCAGUCUGGUCUCAUGCAAACAGAGCAGAGGUCAAAAAACCCAAGCCCCUGCCAGGCACACCAGGCUCGGAGCCAGGUGUUAAUCCGUUGGCCCAUCAUAUUUAGUCCAUCAUCAUUCCCUAUAACUGGAGGGAUAGAGAACACAACUUGUGCUCCCGAACCCUUGGCCUGUCGCCCCAAGGUUCUGAAGUCCUUUUUCAUAGGCUUUAGGGAAUUUCUUCCUUCCUAUAUCAUCGCUGCCAAUCUGAAACAACAACAGGGGAUAGUAAUCUGGGGGCCGAACUAGGCAAGGAAGUUUCUUCCUCAUGUCUUUGGCUCCUGGGAGGCAGCAGCCCUCCCUGUGUAGAGGGUCUGGUCUACAUAUUGGCCCUUCUGUUCCCUUCAGCAGAGUCACCAGUGACAAUGACCCGUCGUUUUUUCUUUGCUGAUGAGGUUUUAAUGCUAAGCGAGGACUGGUUGGACUUUGGUAACACCACCAAGUGGGGAGAACCAUCGUCACAGCCAUUGUCCAGCUGUCCCCGUAGAGCACUGUACUUGCUCUGCAAGGGCAGCUGGGGAGGCAGGGGAAUCUCUGCAUCGCCGAGCAGGGGCCUUUUGCCACUGCCCCACACCCCCCAAUUCUUCACCGUUGUUUCUAGGGGGAGGGGAGGACAGGAGGCUCACUGCAGCAGGAACACUGUCUGCCUGCUGGUUCCCCUCUGUCACCUGUUUGCAAGGCGGCAGGGUGGCACCUACUCCGUGUGGAGCCUCAGCUGGCUGCCAAGAUCUCGGGUCAUACAGAGCUUGGCACCACCAAACAAUCUCCCUCUCCGUCUCCCUCAGGCUUUUUCAAGGCAAGGGGGCGCUAACGCAGAGCCGUUGCCCAGGCAACGCCCAUUCAAUGUCAGCCGCUCUUGCCAGAGCUGCCGGGCUGCUCUGUUAUCCCACGGUUCCAGGGAUGAAGGAACCGAUGAAGGAACCGACUGAAACCCCCCUGUACCUCGCGGUCAGUCCCUGCUAUUCAGUCCAGGAAAGCUCUGGAGCAGCUCACCUCGGCAAUCAAAAUAUGACAUAUAUAAUUAAAUAGAAUAUAUUUAUAUGAUAUUUAAAUUAUAUAUAUAUGUAUAGUAAUAUAUAUAUAAUAAAUAUAUAAUAUAAUGAUAUCUAUAUAUUAUAUACAUAAAUAUAUAAUACAUGCGUAUAUAUUAUAUAAUAUGUGAUAUAAUUAUAUCUACAAUUAUGUGUAAUAGAUAUAAAUGAGAUCUCAAUUUGCUGCAUAGUGCAGAGGAGCUGUUCUGCAGGUAGGAAUGUCCUAACCUCAGCGCUUCAAACUAUUGCAGAAGAAAGGGUUUACGGUUCUGAGGUUGAGCCCCAUGUAGGAUAGUUGGCUGCACUGUGGGAAGAGACUUCUCAUAUGGCUUGUUACAUUGUGGUGCUACACUAUUACCGAUCCAUUACAGAUCACCUUCAGCAAAUAGGUUUAGGUUAGAUACUGUUGUAGUAGGCAUCUUGCGGGGGUACGGGAUGUACGGGACAGGCCUCUCCCUAAGCAUAGAGAGACAGUGCUACCGUGCUGACCUUGAUGCAGAGAAAACAGGAGAAGAAGAAAGAUGAGAAAAGAAUGUGGAAAUGGCCAAAUAAGGCACAAUGUUAUCUGGUGUGAACCAAUCAGGGUGGGACAUGACAGCGCGGUUAUGUAGGUAAAAAUGUAUAGAAGCUGUAUUUGGUAGUGAAUAAACGCCAUUUUGCUGCUCAUCAUAUUGGUGUGCGUCUGCAGUCAUUUGGCCCUGAUCAGGCUAUUGGUCAGUGAGCGCAGAGGCCUAACACAGGUGGCUAACAUCGUUGUUGCAGAAAGCAACAAAUGGUGCCCCGUGUGAGGCACAGACUGUGUUGUGAUGCCCUCUGCGUGGCUACGAGCUGUGGGGUGACGCCGUAGCACGAGAUUUGGGGUGACGCCCAGCCCGCGUGCCCUGAAGAGAGGGGGAGCCUGCAGACUGGGGUGACGCCCUGCAGAAGAUGGUGGCGACGACGAUAGUGCCGGCUGGCAAGUAGAACCUGUGUUGCGGUGGGGUCUGGGGGGACGACAGGGCGCUCACGGAGGACCCGUGUGGACGGCGGCGUCGAGUGUGACUUGGUGGUGACAGCGACGGGCUGACCAUGGACCAUGUUCUUAAGGUAUUGCUUCAGUUUUGUAAGGAUUACUUUGGCGAGUAUGCUCCUUCUAAGAAGGGUAUCCACGCACUUAUUUCCCGGUUAGAGCGGGAGGGGGAGGUUAAAGCCCCCCACGAGAUCCUUGAUCACCGGAGGUGGGAUGAUCUCACCUCUGAGUUCGCGUAACAUAUUAUGAGUGCUCAGGAGGGCGGGUCGGAGUUAAAAACUUGGGGUCUGAUACUAAGGGGGGGCGUAGAAAGCGGCCAGAGUGGAGGGAAAGGUACUGGCAGAGGCUCGAUACCUUUUGGAUCUCGGCGGUGGAGGCGAGACACCGGACCCAGUGGUGUCCGAUGGGGGCUCCGGAGCAGUUUCUUGAAGGGGCCGAGAGGAGACGGAGCCGCCAAUGACCGUUGGCGAGAUGGCGGCGGGUGAGCCGACCGCGCUCAGUUCAAAAGAAGACAACCAACAGGAGAGUGGAUGUUCGUUAUCUCGUCCCCCUCCCCCGUAUCCGGACCCCUCAGGCGGAACGUUGUAUCCUUUAUCAGAAUUACGUCAGUGUUACCUGACUCGAGGGGGCGGAGGAAGCUGUGAUCUACACGGGCAGGAUCAACUUAGUGCCCACAUGGGGAGGGACCAGACGAAAGGUCCGUCCAAUGCGGACAGGGGGCAUAGCCUACCGUCUCUGGUCACUCCCAGGGGCGGUAGUGCGAGUGAUAGUGUAGAGGAGAAAGGAGGGACUGGCUUUGAGUGCAGGGGGAAGGAUCAAAUGACGGACUGGAAUCGGAUUACAUGGGAGGCUGAGGGGAAGGGUAUCGUUCCAGAGGCGUUCCCGGUGAUUGUGAGUGAUCGUGGUCCCGAAUGGGUGCCGCCUGACCCCGGGGGUGUUACGCGCCUGGUGGAAUUUAUGGAUAAAAGCGGCCUGAAAUCGCCUCUGACAUUAAAUGCACUACAAACUUGGGCUGCACUGGGGCCUCUCCUCCCCCGUGACAUCACAAACCUAAUGCGUAUGGUGCUCAGGCUGGUUCAGUAUACGUUAUGGGAGACGGACUGGAUGGCCGAGUUGGGGGGGCGUGGCGGGGCGGCAGGGGUCGGCCCGGGCCACUCCCUGCAUGGGACCAGAAUCCAGCUUCGCCCCAGGGCCAGUAAGCGAAACUAAGACCAGGGGAGCUAAUAGCAGCCCCAGAUGCAAUGGUGGCAGCGUUUAAUAAACUUGUGCAUAAGGCCGAACCACCUGCUCCGUGCACAGAUCUUACCCAGGGCCCGAAUGAAUCCUUUCAAAGCUUUGCAGACAGGCUUUUAGCUGCUGCAAGAGGGGUCUGAUCUCCUGGAACCGGCCCAAGGGCCAGUGAUCACUGACUGCCUGCAACAGAAAUUGCAUGACAAUGUUAAGGCAUUGCUGCGAGCCGGCCCGAGUAGGCUUAAUACCCCGGGAGAAGUUAUUCAGUAUGUCUUAGAUAAGCUCAAGGUGGCUCAUUUAACUAAUGAAGGGCUAGCCACAGCUAUAGUUGCAGCUGUUGGCCCGCAACAGCAAAGAUUGCUGCAGCAGCAAGGGCUGUGUUUCCGAUGCGGCCAGUAUGGCCAUGUUAGAGCACAGUGCCCCUCUGGGGGAGGCCACUCAGGGCCUCCUGAUCGCAGGAAGGGCUUGCUAAAGGGUAUCCGUCGUCGGGUAUGUGGCAGUUAAGCAUCAUGAAUCUGGGAAAAAUUCUGUGGGUACCAUCGUGAAAAGUAAUACCAGAUAUAAGUAACCUAUCUGCAAAAACUGAGUCUAGGUGCGAGUUUUCUACAGAAAUUCUUUGUUGGCAAACCGAAGCCAACUCCAGAACAACUGAGGGACAGAUGAUGGGAUCCAGAACCACUCAUCAAGAGGAGUACUGCACCUGCAACGCUGACACUUCCGAUGUUGCUGAUGUUUAUGGUGUCCCUGGCGAUUACAGCGUGUCGCAAACAACUACAAUGGACAUAAGAACAUAUGCAGAAGAUUAAAGAAGAAAGCGAUCCUUUGGGAAACUGGCUGAGCAGACUGUUUGGGGGAGUGGGUUCAUGGUUAAAGCAAUUGCUUAAAGCUCUCGCAGUAGGAUUUGCAAUCUUUGUGUGUAUUCUAAUCUGUCUUCCAUGCUUUGUAGGAUGCUUGUAGAAGUGCCUUCAACGAAUGAUGGACAAGACCUUUGACUAUCGAAUUGAGUAUCAUAGAUUGCGUGAAAAAUUAUAGAGGGGUUUAGGUUGUUGCGUUCAUGCUGUAAAGGGGCAAGGCUUGGCCGAGCACGGGAAAGGAUUCCCUGUUGCUCUGAUGAUUGCUUAAGAAUGGUAGAAGAAGGUAUUAGGAAUAGUGUGCUGAAAUAUAUUUAGGAUUAGGCGUUUUGCGCUGCUUUGCGACGUACGGGUUAGGCGUGUGUGCAAGUAGUAUUUAGCUUAGGGAGGGGGAGAUGUUGUAGUAGGCAUCUUGCGGGGGUACGGGAUGUACGGGACAGGCCUCUCCCUAAGCAUAGAGAGACAGUGCUACCGUGCUGACCUUGAUGCAGAGAAAACAGGAGAAGAAGAAAGAUGAGAAAAGAAUGUGGAAAUGGCCAAAUAAGGCACAAUGUUAUCUGGUGUGAACCAAUCAGGGUGGGACAUGACAGCGCGGUUAUGUAGGUAAAAAUGUAUAGAAGCUGUAUUUGGUAGUGAAUAAACGCC
ensembl:lncRNA